rnacentral:lncRNA from 1 species
CUAAUGAGGCACCAUCCUCGUCAAUGGAUAAUCGUAAACCUAGCAUGCAUUUUCCUUUGUGUUGGGGUUUGAAGAUUUCCUUGUUGAGCCACUUCCACAACCACCAGCAUGUGACAACAAACUGAGUUAUCCACUUGUGUUGGAUAUUGGUACCCAGCUCUGCUGUCAAGUUCCAGCGCAGCUAAGCAUAUUGUUGGAUCUUGGGUUGAGGAGCAGAGAUAUCCAUUAUGAAGCUUGGGAAAAUGUUUG